GAUGAGCCCAGCUUGCUGGGUGGAUUAGUGGCGAACGGGUGAGUAACACGUGAGUAACCUGCCCUUAACUCUGGGAUAAGCCUGGGAAACUGGGUCUAAUACCGGAUAGGAGCGCCCACCGCAUGGUGGGUGUUGGAAAGAUUUAUCGGUUUUGGAUGGACUCGCGGCCUAUCAGCUUGUUGGUGAGGUAAUGGCUCACCAAGGCGACGACGGGUAGCCGGCCUGAGAGGGUGACCGGCCACACUGGGACUGAGACACGGCCCAGACUCCUACGGGAGGCAGCAGUGGGGAAUAUUGCACAAUGGGCGCAAGCCUGAUGCAGCGACGCCGCGUGAGGGAUGACGGCCUUCGGGUUGUAAACCUCUUUCAGUAGGGAAGAAGCGAAAGUGACGGUACCUGCAGAAGAAGCACCGGCUAACUACGUGCCAGCAGCCGCGGUAAUACGUAGGGUGCGAGCGUUAUCCGGAAUUAUUGGGCGUAAAGAGCUCGUAGGCGGUUUGUCGCGUCUGUCGUGAAAGUCCGGGGCUUAACCCCGGAUCUGCGGUGGGUACGGGCAGACUAGAGUGCAGUAGGGGAGACUGGAAUUCCUGGUGUAGCGGUGGAAUGCGCAGAUAUCAGGAGGAACACCGAUGGCGAAGGCAGGUCUCUGGGCUGUAACUGACGCUGAGGAGCGAAAGCAUGGGGAGCGAACAGGAUUAGAUACCCUGGUAGUCCAUGCCGUAAACGUUGGGCACUAGGUGUGGGGACCAU
rnacentral:rRNA from 1 species